UAACGAGGAACAAUUGGAGGCCAGUCUGGUGCCAGCACCCGCGGUAAUUCCAGCUCCAAUAGCGUAUAUUAAAGUUGUUGUGGUUAAAAAGCUCGUAGUUGAACCUUGGGCCUGGCUGGCCGGUCCGCCUCACCGCGUGUACUGGUCCGGCCGGGCCUUUCCCUCUGUGGAACCCCAUGCCCUUCACUGGGUGUGGCGGGGAAACAGGACUUUUACUGUGAAAAAAUUAGAGUGCUCCAGGCAGGCCUAUGCUCGAAUACAUUAGCAUGGAAUAAUAGAAUAGGACGUGUGGUUCUAUUUUGUUGGUUUCUAGGACCGCCGUAAUGAUUAAUAGGGACAGUCGGGGGCAUCAGUAUUCAAUUGUCAGAGGUGAAAUUCUUGGAUUUAUUGAAGACUAACUACUGCGAAAGCAUUUGCCAAGGAUGUUUUCAUUAAUCAGGAACGAAAGUUAGGGGAUCGAAGACGAUCAGAUACCGUCGUAGUCUUAACCAUAAACUAUGCCGACUAGGGAUCGGACGGUGUUAUUUUUUGACCCGUUCGGCACCUUACGAGAAAUCAAAGUGCUUGGGCUCCAGGGGGAGUAUGGUCGCAAGGCUGAAACUUAAAGAAAUUGACGGAAGGGCACCACCAGGGGUGGAGCCUGCGGCUUAAUUUGACUCAACACGGGGAAACUCACCAGGUCCAGACACAAUGAGGAUUGACAGAUUGAGAGCUCUUUCUUGAUUUUGUGGGUGGUGGUGCAUGGCCGUUCUUAGUUGGUGGAGUGAUUUGUCUGCUUAAUUGCGAUAACGAACGAGACCU
rnacentral:rRNA from 1 species